CCUCGGGUUUUCUCCUAUAUAUCGUGCUUACCGUCAUAAUUCAGAUCCGCCGCACAGAUAUCCGCGUAUAAUUUAUGUGUGUUCAACCAACACGGUAGCCUGCGAGACGUGUGUGCGUGGUGCGGGAUAUUUUACUCGCCGACGAGACCCCUCGCUCUUAUCACGAACCGAGAUUUUUCGUCGUAGUCGUCGUCGUCGUUCGAAAUUGGCUUCUAUAAACGCGCGCACAUAUUAUGCUCGUAAUAUUAUUAUAAAAAAAAAAAUAAU